rnacentral:rRNA from 1 species
GAAAGUCCCCUUCGGGGGACAAGUAGAGUGGCGCACGGGUGUAGUAACACGUAGGUAAUCUACCUUUGGAUGGGGAAUAACAACCGGAAACGGUUGCUAAUACCGCAUAAUGCAGCGGCACCUAAUGGUGACAGUUGUUAAAGCGGGGGAUCGUAAGACCUCGCGUCUAAAGAGGAGCCUGCGGCAGAUUAGCUAGUUGGUAAGGUAAUGGCUUACCAAGGCGAUGAUCUGUAGCCGGCCUGAGAGGGCGGUCGGCCACACUGACACUGACAUACGGGUCAGACUCCUACGGGAGGCAGCAGUCGGGAAUUUUGGGCAAUGGGCGAAAGCCUGACCCAGCAACGCCGCGUGAAGGAUGAAAUCCCUCGGGAUGUAAACUUCGCAAGAACGGGAAGAAUAAGUAAGAGCUAACAUCUCUUAUGAUGACGGUACUGUUUGUAAGCUCCGGCUAACUCCGUGCCAGCAGCCGCGGUAAUACGGGGGGAGCAAGCGUUGUUCGGAUUUACUGGGCGUAAAGGGCGCGUAGGCGGCCACCGCAAGUCAGUUGUGAAAUCUCUGGGCUUAACCCAGAAAGGUCAACUGAUACUGCGGGGCUAGAGUGCAGAAGGGGCAACUGGAAUUCUCGGUGUAGCGGUGAAAUGCGUAGAUAUCGAGAGGAACACCUGCGGCGAAGGCGGGUUGCUGGGCUGACACUGACGCUGAGGCGCGAAAGCUAGGGGAGCGAACGGGAUUAGAUACCCCGGUAGUCCUAGCCUUAAACGAUGAAUGCUUGGUGUCUGGGGUUUUAUAGUCCCCGGGUGCCGUCGCUAACGCUUUAAGCAUUCCGCC